GCCCAGAAAUGGACCGAGCGGACCCGCCGCCGCACGCACCCUGCUCCACUCCAAGCUCCUAAGGGCUCCUGGCGCGCCGCGUAGCCUUGGCGAGGUCCGCGCUGGGGUGCGGAGAGCGAAGGGAACUGGAGAGCCAUGUAGAUCCAGGCUCUUGCCCGCCCGCCUCCUUCGGGAUCGAAUCAAGGGCUCCCAUAGUGUUAGGAGGGGGCGAGAGUGCUGUUUAUCGUCAUUUGCCUCGGAGCUUCGAGAAAGGGUGGUAUUUUGCUUUUCCGCCCCGCAUCCUCCGGAACUCCCUGCACCGGAGAGAGGACGGCGUCUCCAGGUUGCUGGCAACCGGUGAGAAUGGGGGUAGGGAAUGAACAUUUUCGCCGUAGCUGCUCGGUAAAGCGAUUGUCCAACUGAGAGGGGCGUCGGACGAGUGGACCAGGGCGGCGAGUUUGCCCGGCGCGUCUCGGAUGCUGCUGCGGCGGCCGCCGCGGCUCCCGCCAGGGCACUGCAAAGGCGACCUGCCGCAUUCCCACUCGGGCUCUCCGCCGACUCAGCACCGCCCCUGCGCCAAGCCAGCCGGCCAGCCCAGCCCUGGCAUUAGCCACAAGAAGAUGAAGAUGCAGGCCCUGCUUGCAAGGAUCCUGUGACAUUAUUCCACCUCGAAUCCCUAACCUCUGUGGACGGGUUUUCUGGCUUCGUCCCGGGCAGUCUGACCAAGCCCUGGCAUUCCCAAGCCACAUCCACCUGCCUUGGCAUCCUGUCCCCAGCCACCCUGCCUUCCUCGGAUGUGGCCAACAGACAUGUGUCAUGGCGAAUGUGCCAGAGCAACUGGGAGCUACUCAGAGAGGAACUCAAUGAAGAUGAGAUCAUUUUACCUCCCCCACAGUUCCCCAGCAAAUCUCAGCGCUGAGCCUCUGUGCCAACUCCAGAGAGAGAGCACUUGUUGGUAACUAACUGCUUUGUUUACCAUUCACAGUGGCUCUGAAAAGCCCACCUCUUGGGUGGCAGAUAUGGAGUGAACAAUGUUACUGUGAUGAAGUGACACAGUGACAGCCUGGAGGUCAUGCAACCUAGAGAACCUAGAGCGGGACCCUGUUCUAGAUACUUCAUUUCACAGGCAACCUAGAGAACCUAGAGCGGGACCCUGUUCUAGAUACUUCAUUUCACAGGUAACCUAGAGAACCUAGAGCGGGACCCUGUUCCAGAUACUUCAUUUCACGGGUAACCUAGAGAACCUAGAGUGGGACCCUGUUCUAGAUACUUCAUUUCACAGGUAACCUAGAGAACCUAGAGCGGGACCCUGUUCUAGAUACUUCAUUUCACGGGUAACCUAGAGAACCUAGAGCGGGACCCUGUUCUAGAUACUUCAUUUCACAGGCAACCUAGAGAACCUAGAGCGGGACCCUGUUCUAGAUACUUCAUUUCACAGGCAACCUAGAGAACCUAGAGCGGGACCCUGUUCUAGAUACUUCAUUUCACAGGUAACCUAGAGAACCUAGAGAAGGACCCUGUUCUAGAUACUUCAUUUCACAGGUAAAGACACUGAGACCCAGAAAAAUGAUCUUCCUUGUUAUGUAAUGAAAGGCCAAGCUGGUGCCAGAGUCUAGGAGCCCCAUUGCUCUGGCCCAUCCUCCUUUCCUAUCCCUGCCCCAGUUUCCUUCCCACCAGUUGAUGCUGCAGGGGCCCUCAACUCCACAGAUAAGCCUAAACUUUGCCCCAAGACAUUGAACUUCUUCCCUUCCUAGACUGGUCUUGUGAAAUAUUCAGAAACAGGAAAUUGGCUUUAUUGAUGACUUUCCUUCCCUUCCCAAUUCAGUUCAGGAAACAAUAAACUGAAACAAGAAUAAAUAAAAUAAAUAGGGAAGAGAAGACAAUAAUAAUCAGAACUAUUUCUUGACUGUGAAAAGACUGUAAUGAAAUAAGGAAAUAAGAUCCCUUAAGAAUUCUAUUGGCCAGGCACAGUGGCUGCUCACACCUACAAUGCCAGCACUUUGGGAGACAGAGUCCAGCACAUUGCUUGAAUGCAGGAGUUUGAGACCAGCCUGAGCAACAGGGCAAAACUCUGUUUCCAAAAAAAAAAAAAAAAAAAAUUAGCCUCAGUUAUUCGGGAGGCUGAGGUGGGAGGGUCACCUGGGCCUGGGGGGUCAAGACUGCAGUGAGCUGAGAUCACGCCACUGCACCUCCAGCC
rnacentral:sRNA from 1 species